GGUUCUUAUAGUUGAACACACAACAGUAGCCCUUCACGCAACAAGUUUGAGAUAAUAACUCAAUAAGAAUG
rnacentral:tRNA from 1 species